rnacentral:misc_RNA from 1 species
GAAAAAUAGCAUAUAAAAGUCAUGAAUAUGGUCGUUUAGUACAGAUCUAAUAAUUUACUGAGCUGGAAAAUACCAUAAAUAAUGCAUUUCUUUCACUUUUAUUUCACAUCAGUAUUUUUUUUGACGAAUAUUUCACAUCAAUUUAUGGCAUUUUAUUAUGAUUCCUUCAAAGGUAGAAAUGCCGCGUUAAACUCAUGUAAUAUGUUGCCAAAGAACAUAUCCAAUAACAUAAAUAACAUCCUUGUAUAUAAGUUC